AUUACAAGAUUCAGAUGGCUGUCAUUACUUUUGUCUCUAAUAUUUGAAAAGAUACCAGCCUAUGUAGCAGAUGCGUUCCUAUUGUUGAGAGGGAAAAAUGCCAGGUUUUUGAAAUUUCAAGAGAAAGCAAUCGUCGUUCGCAAGAACACGGAAUAUUUUACAAGAAACAGCUGGAUCAUACAUGCGUCGAAAAUGAGAGCUCUGUCGGGUUCUCUGUUACCGUCAGACAAAAUUAUAUUUCCUUUUAAUCCAAAGGAUAUCGAUUGGGAAGAAUAUAUUGUCUCUUACUGCCAAGGUAUAAGGCAGUUUUUAAUAAAAUAACAGAAGUAUUACAACAUAAAACUGCGUGUAUAUAAUAAGUACUGUGAACUCUUCUAUAUAAUAAUAGAAAUAAUAAUAUAAUAAUAAAUGUGUAAAUAAAAAUAA